UACGUAGGGUGCGAGCGUUAAUCGGAAUUACUGGGCGUAAAGCGUGCGCAGGCGGUUAUAUAAGACCGAUGUGAAAUCCCCGGGCUCAACCUGGGACCUGCAUUUGUGACUGUAUAGCUAGAGUACGGUAGAGGGGGAUGGAAUUCCGCGUGUAGCAGUGAAAUGCGUAGAUAUGCGGAGGAACACCGAUGGCGAAGGCAAUCCCCUGGACCUGUACUGACGCUCAUGCACGAAAGCGUGGGGAGCAAACAGG
rnacentral:rRNA from 1 species